rnacentral:lncRNA from 1 species
UGACUUUGCUUGGAGAAAGAAGAGGACUCAUUUGAGGAAUCGGGUAAACUGAAGAGAAAAGAUAUGAGAAGGACAGAAAACUGCAGGAAGCUGAUACACAGUGUGGCUGUUUUCUAUCAAUGAGCUCCAGUUAGCCAGAGACAAAUCCUGCAACCACCAGUUAUCUGAUAGGUUUCCUGUGGACAGCCUCCUAUGUGAUAGUCAUGCACACUGCAAGCAGCAUCCUUCUCCCAUAGCAAAUGGUAGUCUUGGGAAACAUGAGUAUGGUUGCUAUUAUAGGAAGAAUCAAGAUAAAUGUUCCCUAUGAAUUAAAAAAGAGAAUACC